rnacentral:rRNA from 1 species
UUUAACUGAGCGUUCAGUUACUUGACGUAGACCCGAAACCGGGCGACCUACCCAUGAGCAGGAUGAAGCGAAAGUAAAAUUUCGUGGAGGUCCGAACCCACGAGCGUUGAAAAGCUCGGGGAUGACUUGUGGGUAGCGGUGAAAUUCCAAUCGAGCCCGGAGAUAGCUGGUUCUCCCCGAAAUAGCUUUAGGGCUAGCCUCAAGGUGAGAGAUACGGAGGUAGAGCACUGAAUGUCCUAGGGGGUAUUGCACCUACCGAAGACUAUCAAACUCCGAAUGCCGUCAUCUUAUACUUGGGAGUCAGACUGUGGGUGAUAAGAUUCAUAGUCGAAAGGGCAACAGCCCAGAUCGUCAGCUAAGGUCCCUAAAUGUAAGUUAAGUGGUAAAGGAUGUGGGAUUGCACAGACAACCAGGAUGUUGGCUUAGAAGCAGCCACUCAUUCAAAGAGUGCGUAAUAGCUCACUGGUCGAGUGAUCCUGCGCCGAAGAUUUCCGGGGCUAAAACUUACUACCGAAGCUACGGCAUCAGUAAUGAUGGGUAGGGGAGCUUCCCAUACGGGUUGAAGCAUGACCGUAAGGACAUGUGGACAGUAUGGGAGUGAGAAUGUUGGCAUGAGUAGCGAGAUGUGGGUGAGAAUCCCACAGGCCGUAAACCCAAGGUUUCCAGGGGAAGGUUCGUCCGCCCUGGGUUAGUCGGGACCUAAGCUGAGGCCGAAAGGCGUAGGUGAUGGACAACAGGUUGAUAUUCCUGUACUACCGAUAACCGUUUGAGAGAUGGGAUGACACAGUAGGAUAAGCUAAGCACACUGUUGGUUAUGUGUGCCCAAGCAUUGAGGCAGUCAAAGUAGGCAAAUCCGCUUUGAUAAUGCUGGGAUGUGAUGGGGAGCGAAAUUUAGUAGCGAAGUAGUUGAUUUCACACUGUCAAGAAAAGUCUCUAUCGAGGUUAAAGGUACCCGUACCGCAAACCGACACAGGUGGGUGAGGAGAGUAUCCUAAGGCCAGCGAGAGAACUGUUGUUAAGGAACUCGGCAAAAUGACCCCGUAACUUAGGGAUAAGGGGUGCCACCAUCAGGUGGCCGCAGAGAAUAGGCCCAAGCGACUGUUUACCAAAAACAUAGGUUUCUGCUAAGUCGCAAGACGAUGUAUAGGAGCUGACGCCUGCCCGGUGCUGGAA